UACAGAGGUGGCAAGCGUUGUUCGGAAUUACUGGGCGUAAAGGGCGCGUAGGCGGCCUUCUAAGUCGAACGUGAAAUCCCCGGGCUCAACCCGGGAACUGCGUCCGAUACUGGAAGGCUUGAAUCCGGGAGAGGGAUGCGGAAUUCCAGGUGUAGCGGUGAAAUGCGUAGAGAUCGGGAAGAACAUCGGUGGCGAAAGCGCUCUACUGGACGGUGACUGACACUCAGGGACGAAAGCUAGGGGAGCGAAUGGG
rnacentral:rRNA from 1 species